AGUCUUCUUUGAAAAGGACCCUUAAGUAAAUACUUUAGCAGCCAAAGCUUAAGUCAGGGCUUACAUUACAAGGGGUUAAUGGACUUGUUCAAAAUCACACAGAGGCCAAAUUCAGCUAAGGGACAAGGUCUGCAGAGUCCCUAGGGUUCUCUGUCCACCAUGAAGUGAUGUUCUCUUUCCACUUUCUGUAUCACUAACCCUAACACAGUGCUUGCUCCCUAGCACAUGCUUGUGAAACGAAUGAUUCCAUGCUAGCAACAUGAUAGCAGGCUUUAUAAUGGGGUUCCAUGUUUUUUAUUCAUUUUCUCAAGAUUGAUUAGCCUCUUCCUAUUUCCCAAGCUCUGAGGUAUAAUCAGCGGAUAAAAUGAUGGUAAAUGUGGACAGGUGACCAUGUCUUCAUGAAGCUUACACUCCAUUCCCGGAUUAGUAUGACACACAUUGUUUCAGAGGGGGAGUUUCUCUACAUUGGCUGUGGGAAAUAGAAAAUGAGACUAUUGUUGACUUAAUAUUAUUAAUUUAAUUUUCUUAUUUAAUAUUUUUCACUUCCCCACUUUUAUUCCAAGAACAAUUUCCAUGACAAUUCUCUGGCCUUACUGCUGUCACUAAGCAGAAAUGAUUCUUAAACAUGCAACAAGAUGAAACACGUGAUUUCUAUCUCUUAAUGAAUACAUUCAAAUUUUUUAAAACCAAUUUUUGGCUAAAAUAUCUUUUUUUUUGCAAACAAAUUUAUAUAUAGUAUUUCAAAGAAAAGAACAAUGAAGGUAUGUAAACAAAACACUUUGUAUUCAUAUUUUAAAAAAAUUUUUUUAUUCCAGCAGGUAGCUUCUGUGCAUACUUUGGGGUCAGGAGUGACUGUGGUUUUAAUUUUAGAGUCUGAUUCUGGUGCCCAGAUGGGAGAGGUGAUGUCUCCUAGAGUGGGAUAGUUACACAGGUAGUUGUAGGUGUCCCAAUAAGGGACCAUAGAUAGAGAGAGAAACCAAGAGAAAUUUGGAAGAUCACUGUAAGUUAAUAACUGCUCAAGAAAGCCAUCCGAACAAGGAUCAAGGCAGGCUUGCAGGACUAGAGGAGGCACAGAGAUAUGCCUCAGGUCAUUGGGUGGGGGAUGGGAUGAGGCCUGCAUUCAGAUUCAGACCAAGGGCAGGAGUUUAAGGACCACCCUUCUGCUGAUUUGAAUAAGCCCAGGGACAGUCCUAGUGUCCUAGUUUGACCUUAGAGGGUCAAAUGCUCUCUUACCAGAUACCAAGGAAGAGUUACCACUUGAGGGAGAGGAAGAGGAAGAGGAAGAGGAAGAGGCGGUCUUUUCCCACCCUACCUCCCCUUAGAUUAUAAAACUGUAGCCCACCUGAUGCUAAGGGCUGAGCCUCCUCUUCUGCCCACUUACAUUGCUCACCAGCUUCUUACCUUAAUAAAUCUAUUUCUUGCCUAUUGCUGUCUCUCA
rnacentral:lncRNA from 1 species